rnacentral:lncRNA from 1 species
GCUGUUGCAGAUUCACAGAGCUUGAUUCAGCAAGCGACGGGGCAGAUAGGCUUGCCUUCCUGGGGCUUGGAACCCUUACUGGAUGGCUUCUUUAAAGAUGGGCAGGAUAAUUGAUCUGUGAAUGGCAGGGAGGUUAGAUGAGAUAAUCCAUUAAAGUGCUUGGUGCUGGCAGCAGUAAAGUGUCCCAAAGCCUUUAUAGUCACCUUCCUGGUGACUCCCAGGCCCUUGGUCCCAGGUACUUUCUUUACUUGUCUACGCACCUCUUGCUUAAUCCACCGAUUACUAAGUCAGGUAGGGCUUUGCCUGUUCAAUGUCUGACUAUCAAGGCCUUGUACAAAGUAGAUAUUCCAUAAAUAGUGAACAUGUGAAUGAAUGAACCAAUGAAUGAAUGAUAUUAGUUCAUGUCUGAGCCUCCAUUUCUUCAUCUGCAAAAUGGGGUUAUUAAUAGCCCCUACCUCACAGGAUUGGUAUGAAGAAUCAAAUGAAGCAAUGCCUGGACAGCUUCCAGCCCAGUGCCUGGCGUGCAGUAGGUGCUCACUAAACCUGAGCUACGGUGGUCCUUUCCAGGCGCUGUCCACACCCCAAGGCCUGGGCUCAGGCCGAAGUUGCUCCACAACACCCCCAGCUGACAGCCAUCAACUGGCAGAGUCCCCAAGCACGGGGGCCCUCUGUUUACCAGAGAUAACCAGUGUGACGGCCCAGGCGGCAGAGCCGAGGGUGAGUACAGCCUGGGGAGCCAGGGUGAGGAGGAGCAGCGUCGUGGUGAAUGGGUCUUCCCAACCUUCUUCAGUUUUGUGUCUAGUGUUAUGUGGAGUGGUCAUCUUGCCCUGCUACCAGGCCUCCCUCGCCAAGAUAUGGGGAUCUUGUCAUCUCUAACCCCAUAGCCUAUAGAAGUGGGUCAGUUGCCCCUGGGUGCUGAGGUUCAGUAUGUACACAUGACAGAAGACCAGAAAGGUUC